AAGUCGUAACAAGGUUUCCGUAGGUGAACCUGCGGAAGGAUCAUUAAAAUAAUAGGUUCGGAACCUUUGAUCGGGUUCUGAACCUUUGGCGCGCAGCACCCGGGUGGGUAGCUUAUCUAAGGAGUUGUGGUUAUUGCCGUUACAAGCUUUGGAAUGGGCAUGACCGAGGGUCGCGCCUACGGUGUUAUCUUCACGCGUAGGUUUCCUCUUGCCGCCGGACUUACAGUGAUCCCACCCGCUGGAUCCAUGACCAAAAAACCCCCUGUGAAACAUCUCCUUGCUUAGGCAGCACCUCCUUACGGGGUGUGGUCAGUCUGCCUGAAGCCCUAAAAAGAAACUCUUUGUCAAGAAACAUUUGUCCGAUAAGCAGUCUAACGACUUUAAAACUUUCAACAACGGAUCUCUUGGUUCUCGCAUCGAUGAAGAACGCAGCGAAACGCGAUAGGUAAUGUGAAUUGCAGAAUCUAGUGAAUCAUCGAAUCUUUGAACGCACAUUGCGCCUUCUGGUAUUCCGGGAGGCAUGUCUGUUUGAGCGUCAGCAAACCCUCAGAGCAUUGCUUUGGUAUUGGGAUGGGACGGGCGCUUGGCGCCUCCCCCGCCUUAACGUUGCCGACGAUAGCGAUCCAGCUGGUGGACAGUAGACGUAGUAAGUAAAGUAACUCAACGUUUCCUGGCUCUGCAGGCGGUUGCCCCUCAAAGACCUUGAACUUUUGACCUCAGAUCAGACAAGGAUACCCGCUAAACUUAAGCAUAUCAAUAAGCGGAGGAAAAGAAACCAACAGGGAUUGCCUCAGUAACGGCGAGUGAAGCGGCAAGAGCUCAGAUUUGAAAUCAGGCGCCUUCCAGCGUUCGAGUUGUAAUCUGAAGAGGAGACUUCGGUUCGGACGCCGGUCCAUGUUCCUUGGGACAGGACGUCGCAGAGGGUGAGAAUCCCGUAUCCGGCUGGCGCCCCCGUUCCAUGUGAAGCUCCUUCGACGAGUCGAGUUGUUUGGGAAUGCAGCUCAAACUGGGUGGUAAAUUCCAUCUAAAGCUAAAUACCGGCGAGAGACCGAUAGCGCACAAGUAGAGUGAUCGAAAGAUGAAAAGCACUUUGAAAAGAGAGUUAAACAGUACGUGAAAUUGUUGAAAGGGAAGCGCUUGCCAUCAGAAUAGCGACCUACUGAUCAACGUACCUUCUGGUGCGCGCACUUGGUGGGCUGUCUUGCCAGCAUCGGUUGCUGGCGGCGGGACAAAGGCUCCGGGAAUGUGGCUCCCCUCGGGGAGUGUUAUAGCCCGCGUGCGUAAUGCCGCCUGCCGCGACCGAGGUUCUCGCGCCCUCACGGGCUAGGAUGCUGGCCUAAUGGUCGUAAGCGACC
rnacentral:rRNA from 1 species